UUUAAAAUUAAUUAAAAGCGACGGGCAAUAUGUAUAUAUUAUUUUAAAAUAUUAAAAUUUUAAAUCUAUAAAAUUUUAAUAUUAAAUCCAUUUUCAUUUAAAUAUUAAAAUUUAAAAUUCAAUUUAAAUUUAUUUAAUGUAUUUCAUUUUUAAACCUUAUAUUUUUAAUAUAUUAUGAUUUGAAAUAAAUUAAUAUUAAUAAAAAUAAAAUUUAUUAAUUUUUUAUUAUAAAAUUAAUUAAACAACAAUAUAUAAUUUAAUUAAUAUAAGUUUAUUUUAAUGUGUAUUAUCAAAUUAAUAAACAAAAUCCUCUAAUUUUAAAUAAUACUACCAAAUUAAUUAAUUUUCAUAAAAAAAAAUACUAAUUAAAAAAAAAUUAAAUUUUUAUAAUA
rnacentral:rRNA from 2 species